ensembl:snRNA U6 U6 spliceosomal RNA
GUGCUUGCUUUGGCAGCACAUAAACUAAAAUUGGAACAAUACAGAGAAGAUUAGCAUGGCUCCCUUAAAAAACAUAUUAAAAAAUAAUUUUUUU